AUGAACGCUAGCGGCAGGCCUAAUACCUGCAAGUCGAACGAGAUUAAGAGGCUUGCUUCUUAUGAAAGUGGCGCACGGGUGCGUAACGCGUAUGCAACCUACCUUAAUCAGGGGGAUAGCCCGAAGAAAUUCGGAUUAAGACCGCAUAAAAACACAGGAUAGCAUUAUCCAAUGUUCAAAUAUUUAUAGGAUUAAGAUGGGCAUGCGUGUCAUUAGCUAGUUGGCGGGGUAACGGCCCACCAAGGCGACGAUGACUAGGGGAUCUGAGAGGAUGACCCCCCACACUGGUACUGAGACACGGACCAGACUCCUACGGGAGGCAGCAGUAAGGAAUAUUGGUCAAUGGAGGGAACUCUGAACCAGCCAUGCCGCGUGCAGGAAGACAGCCCUCUGGGUCGUAAACUGCUUUUAUUCGGGAAUAAACCUUUCUACGUGUAGGAAGCUGAAUGUACCGAAGGAAUAAGGAUCGGCUAACUCCGUG
rnacentral:rRNA from 1 species